CCUACGGGAGGCAGCAGUAGGGAAUCUUGGACAAUGGGGGCAACCCUGAUCCAGCCAUGCCGCGUGAGUGAAGAAGGCCCUAGGGUCGUAAAGCUCUUUCGCCUGUGAUGAUAAUGACAGUAGCAGGUAAAGAAACCCCGGCCAACUCCGUGCCGGCAGCCGCGGUAAUACGGAGGGGGUUAGCGUUGUUCGGAAUUACUGGGCGUAAAGCGCGCGUAGGCGGAUUGGAAAGUUGGGGGUGAAAUCCCGGGGCUCAACCCCGGAACUGCCUUCAAAACUCCCAGUCUAGAGUUCGAGAGAGGUGAGUGGAAUUCCGAGUGUAGAGGUGAAAUUCGUAGAUAUUC
rnacentral:rRNA from 1 species